rnacentral:rRNA from 1 species
CGGACUUAGAAGAGCUUGCUCUUCUAAGUUAGUGGCGGACGGGUGAGUAACACGUGAGCAACCUGCCUUACAGAGGGGGACAACAGCUGGAAACGGCUGCUAAUACCGCAUAACAUCAUUGGAUCGCAUGGUCUGAUGAUCAAAGAUUUAUCGCUGUAAGAUGGGCUCGCGUCCGAUUAGUUAGUUGGUGGGGUAAUGGCUCACCAAGACCGCGAUCGGUAGCCGGACUGAGAGGUUGAACGGCCACAUUGGGACUGAGACACGGCCCAGACUCCUACGGGAGGCAGCAGUGGGGGAUAUUGCACAAUGGGGGAAACCCUGAUGCAGCAACGCCGCGUGAGGGAAGAAGGUCUUCGGAUUGUAAACCUUUGUUUUUGGUGAAGAAAAAAAUGACGGUAGCCAAAGAGGAAGCUCCGGCUAACUACGUGCCAGCAGCCGCGGUAAUACGUAGGGAGCGAGCGUUGUCCGGAAUUACUGGGUGUAAAGGGUGCGCAGGCGGGACUGCAAGUUGGAUGUGAAAACUAUGGGCUUAACCCAUAGACUGCAUCCAAAACUGCGGUUCUUGAGUGAAGUAGAGGUAGGCGGAAUUCCGAGUGUAGCGGUGAAAUGCGUAGAUAUUCGGAGGAACACCAGUGGCGAAGGCGGCCUACUGGGCUUUAACUGACGCUGAGGCACGAAAGCGUGGGGAGCAAACAGGAUUAGAUACCCUG